UACAGAGGGGGCAAGCGUUAUUCGGAAUUACUGGGCGUAAAGCGCGUGUAGGCGGUCUGAAUAGUCUGCUGUGAAAGCGCCUGGCUUAACCGGGCGAGGUCGGCGGAAACUCUCAGACUGGAGGCCGGUAGAGGGGGGUGGAAUUCCCGGUGUAGCAGUGAAAUGCGUAGAGAUCGGGAGGAACAUCAGUGGCGAAGGCGGCCACCUGGACCAGCACUGACACUGAGGCACGAAAGCGUGGGGAGCAAACAGG
rnacentral:rRNA from 1 species